GCCCGCCAAACAACUACGAGUGAAAACUUAAAACUUAAAAGACUUGACGGUACUUCAUAACCGACCUAGAGGAGCCUGUCUAAUAACCGAUAAUCCACGAUCAACCCUACCACUUCUAGCCAUCCAGUCUAUAUACCGCCGUCGCCAGCCUACCUUGUGAAAGAAACAAAGUAAGUUCAACAGUACCACACUAACACGACAGGUCGAGGUGUAACAAAUGAAGUGGACUAUGAUGGGCUACACUUUCUAACACAGAAAACACGAACAAAGAUAUGAAAUCAUCCAUCAAAGGCGGAUUUAGCAGUAAGCUAAGAACACGAUCCUUAACUGAAACCAACGCAAUGAAGUGCGUACACACCGCCCGUCAUCCCUGCCUCCCAUAUAACACGUAUAAAUAAAAAAUAACAACAAAACAAAACAGGGCAAGUCGUAACAUGGUAAGUGUACUGGAAAGUGCACUUAGAUAA
rnacentral:rRNA from 1 species